CAAUUUUAAAUGAUGCCGUUUUAACAGCUGAAUUAGUCUAAAAUGCAAGAAAAGGUGAAUGCAAUGUACCCUGUAGAAUGUCUUUAAUAUAUUCUAAAAGUUCCAAGACAUGGUAGUUGUUCUCUUAUGUCUGUGUUUUAAGAGCACUAAAACAUGUAAGUUAUAAUGUAGUUCUAAUAUAAGUAACAUACGGGAGAAAGUAAAAAAAAAAGAAUUUUUUUUUGCACUUACUGA